rnacentral:tRNA from 1 species
AAACAUGGUUAUAUAAUUACAAAAAGGGUGACUGUUAAUCACUAGGUCGGCAGUUCGAGCCUGUCCCGGGGAGCCA